AUUUAACUUCAAGAGUCUUAAUGCAAGAGUCACUCUCUUACACAUUGUAGAAGUGAUGUAGGCGUAAACAAUAACUGUGAGAAUUUUUAAAUAGGAAAGAGGUGGUUUGUGAAAGAGCCAAAUACAAUAAAUGUUGAGGUACAAAUGUCAAGGCACACAAUUUAUGUAACGGAAAAAGGUGUUUGGAAGAUAUUACAGAUGAAGAUCUUGUGGGAAAGACAUACUUAGUUUUGUCCUCCAAACUUCUCAGAGGAAAUCCUGACAAAUAUUUCAGAUGAAAGUUUUAAGAUAGUCUGCAGCUAUUCCCCAAAGUCUUAUACAAGCCUCACUAGCUUAGGUGAAGAAUUAAGACUUAUUCAACUAUUGCCAGUUGUCAUCUUAGUGUAAUUGAUUCAGUGUGCAAACAGAGCCUGUAUCUCAUCUUAUCAACAGCUGAAGUAACUCCAAGCUGCUUGGGCUUUCAGGUUUUUCAGGUUUCUUUGAAAUAUGUGUCUCUUACACAUCUCUUGUCCAAAUGGAUACUGGUCAAUCAUGAAAAAUCAAGGGACUGAGAGGUGAGGAGCAUUUCUUCUCCCUUCUUGAUGGCACAGACUGUGUUCAGUGUAUGUCAGUUAUGGCAAACUUGAGCAGCACAUUUUUGGCAAAGGUAUUGGCUAAAUGCAACAACUGUUGUUGAAGUUUUCCUGCUCAGCAUUGUGUUUAAUCUCUGUCACUGUUAAAUCUUAGCAAGGUCCACUGUCUCUGGAGAAGGCACAACGUCUAGGGGUGCACUCAUAUGUUCAAGAGCUAUUUUGCUAAGUUUUAGAGCUGAAAUUGUGACUGCUAAUGAUUCUUAUUUUUGUGAUUGAGUCAUUGAAAUGUUCCCCAGAUUUUUGAUUCAACACUAAACGUCUUUUUUUGGCCUUGGAUAUAUUGAAACAGUUAAGCUUGUAGAUGUUAGUCCAGAUGGAAUUGAAACCAGAUUUCUGAGGCAAGGAGACUAAAGUAACAAAUUAUUGACAUAUUUCAUUACUUCCACCACAGUCUAAAAUAUUGGACAAAUAAGUAAUAUAAAUUCACAGCUUAGAUAGCUUUUGGAACAAAGGGAGGCCAUGAAUUCUUUAUGGUCAAACAUGAUAUCUAAUCACUCAACUAACAACACUUUGCUUAAAACUGCAGAUGUCAUUUUUUCAUUUUUA
rnacentral:lncRNA from 1 species